UGGGGAAUUUUGCACAAUGGGGGAAACCCUGAUGCAGCGACGCCGCGUGAUUUAGAAGGCCUUCGGGUUGUAAAAAUCUUUUCUAUGGGAAGAAAAUGACAGUACCAUAGGAAUAAGGACCGGCUAAUUACGUGCCAGCAGCCGCGGUAAUACGUAAGGUCCGAGCGUUGUCCGGAAUCAUUGGGCGUAAAGGGUACGUAGGCGGGUAAGCAAGUUAGAAGUGAAAUCCUAUAGCUCAACUAUAGUAAGCUUUUAAAACUGCUCAUCUUGAGGUAUGGAUGGGAAAGUGGAAUUCCUAGUGUAGCGGUGAAAUGCGCAGAUAUUAGGAGGAAUACCGGUGGCGAAGGCGACUUUCUGGCCAUAACCUGAUGCUGAGGUACGAAAGCGUGGGUAGCAAACAGG
rnacentral:rRNA from 1 species